GGUCAAGCUACUAAGGCGCGCGGUGGAUGCCUAGGCAUCAGGAGCCGAAGAAGGACGUGGUAAGGCUGCGAUAAGCUCCGCUCAGCUGUCAAACAAGCUCAGGCGGAGAUUUCCGAAUGGGGAAACCCGGCCCGGGACUACCGGGUCACUCCAGGUUGAACACAUAGACCUGGUAGAGGGAACUGGGGGAACUGAAACAUCUAAGUACCCCGAGGAAAAGAGAUUAUUCCCUGAGUAGCGGCGAGCGAACGGGGAAAAGCCCAAACCGGUUGGGUUCGCCCAGCCGGGGUUGUAGGACCUGCUGGCUUUCGGGCACGGAGUUACCAAUCGCAAGCGAAGACGAACGGCACUGGAACGGCCGGCCAGAGAGGGUGAGAGCCCCGUAGGCGAAUGGCUUGCGACUCCGAGCAGGCACCUGAGUACCACGGGACACGUGAAACCCUGUGGGAAUCUGGGGAGACCACUUCCCAAGGCUAAAUACUCCUGGUGACCGAUAGUGGACAAGUACCGUGAGGGAAAGGUGAAAAGUACCCCGGGAGGGGAGUGAAAGAGAUCCUGAAACCGUGUGCUUACGUGCAGUCGGAGCCCGUUACGACGGGUGACGGCGUGCCUAUUGAAGAAUGAGCCGGUGAGUUACGCUACGUCGCAAGGUUAAGUGACGGAAGUCAUGGAGCCGUAGCGAAAGCGAGUCCGAACAGGGCGAUUGAGUGGCGUGGAGUAGACGCGAAACCUGGUGAUCUACCCAUGGGCAGCGUGAAGUCCGGGUAAAACCGGAUGGAGGCGCGAACCUUCUUGUGUUGCAAAACGAUUGGAUGACUUGUGGGUAGCGGUGAAAUGCCAAACGAACCAGGAGAUAGCUCGUUCUCCCCGAAAUGCAUUUAGGUGCAGCCUUGGAAAUAUCUCCGGCGGAGGUAGAGCUCUGGAUGGGCUAGGGGGCUUACCGCCUACCAAACCCAACCAAACUGCGAAUGCCGCCGGACAAAGUCCGGGAGUGAGACAGUGGGGGAUAAGCUCCAUUGUCGAAAGGGAAACAGCCCAGACCACCAGCUAAGGUCCCAAAGUUCACGCUCAGUGUACAAGGAUGUUGAAUUGCAAAAACAGCCAGGAGGUUGGCUUAGAAGCAGCCACCCUUUAAAGAGUGCGUAACAGCUCACUGGUCGAGUGAUUCUGCGCCGAGAAUUCAACGGGGCUAAGCGUGACACCGAAGCUGUGGGUCAUCCGCAUUAGGCGGAUGGCGGUAGGGGAGCGUUCGUUUCAGCCGAGAAGGGGUAGCUGCGAGGCGCCCUGGAGCGGAGCGAAGUGAGAAUGCCGGCAUGAGUAGCGUAAGGUGCGUGAGAACCGCACCCGCCGUAAACCUAAGGUUUCCUACGGAAGGUCAGUCCGCGUAGGGUUAGUCGGGCCUAAGCCGAGGCCGAGAGGCGUAGGCGAUGGACAGCUGGUUAGUAUUCCAGCACCACGAUGGUCGCGUUAUAACGCAGAGGGGGGACCCGGAAGGGUAGAUCCCGCGGACCUAAUGGAUAUGGUCCGUUCUUGGGCCGUAGGCGUCCGGAGGCAGGUAAAUCCACCUCCGGGAUAAGCUGAGGACUCGAGAGAAGUAGAGACUUUUGUCAAAGCGACGGGGUUGAGCCCAGGCCGGCGAGAAAAGCCUCGCUGCCAGUAACCAACGUGCCCGUACCGCAAACCGACACUGGUAGGUGGCGGUAAGUACCGUGAGGCGAACGGGAGAACCUUCGUUAAGGAACUCGGCAAAUUGGAUCCGUAACUUCGGGAGAAGGAUCGCCCUCGGCUGUGAACCGGCAUGCCCGGUGAGCGGUAGAGGGCCGCAGUGAGCAGGCCCAGGCGACUGUUUACCAAAACCACAGGUCUCUGCAAAAGCGAAAGCUGACGUAUAGGGGCUGACGCCUGCCCAGUGCCGGAAGGUUAAGGGGAGAGGUGAGAGCUUCGAACCGAAGCCCCGGUGAACGGCGGCCGUAACUAUAACGGUCCUAAGGUAGCGAAAUUCCUUGUCGGGUAAGUUCCGACCCGCACGAA
rnacentral:rRNA from 1 species